CUUGGAUUCAAGCAGAAAUCAAACAUUGCCUUUCCAGGCCGCAGCCUUUCUGCAUCCAACUUCUAGCUCACAUAACGGCCUCUCUACUCGAGCUUUAUCUGUUGAGGGAGGGGCCUGCACCCAUUUGCCAUCUCACACCGAACCCACUUUGGAGCAAAACACUCUUACUAGGAGCUUGAAAACCUUGGUAUAUGAGCAACAGGUCAAGAACUCCAGGACUUGUAGUUCUUGAGAGAGCUGGCAGCUCACCAUCCAGAAGGUUGUUUGCUCAGCUUGGCUCUGGCAGACCUCAGAACAGAGAAACACCACUCAUAGCAGGUGAGCCAGAUUCAACUUUCCAGCCGGAGGAGAGGGGUAAUAUAUCUCCUAAAAGCUGAAUGAUCUGAAGUUGCAGCUGCCAUGGCAGACCAUUCUACAGCGCCACACUACUGAUUAAGGGGCCACACUUCUUUGAUCAUCUAAAAAAUUGAAGAUCUACUCUGAGGUUGACUCAAGCAGAUAGAACCUUCACUGUAAUAACAUCAGGGCAGGAGGUCUCAUCUGCUCGCUUUCAAAAAGAUAUCCAUUUCUGAUGAAUUGUUGAACUAGGAAUCUUAGAUCACCGGUGAUGAGAAUACUGCUGCCUAAAAGUUUAGGUCAUCUACGUGGGACCAGUUGAAAAUGGACAAUGUUCAACUCCACUGAAGUGGGUGCAGAGUGCAGUCCCUCCACCUCACUCUUUACAAUUGCUUUGCCCAGAGAGAGGGAUGAGACCCUGACUUCUCAGUAAACAUUUCCUC